GGACUAGCCAGCCCAGCCUCCAGGCACAUUAAUGAGCUCAGCUGGGUUGCAAUAUGCAGGCAGUUAUAGCAGGUUCAUCACCAUAAUAAGGGAGUGCCUUAUGAGGUCUAUAUUUACGUGGGUGUAUCUUCACAUUUACGGUGGCUCGCCAAGGCCAACUGUCUGUAUAAUCCAUACAGCAAUCAUCAGCAAGGAGCCAAGAAAACUCUCAGCUUCACAGUAGCACAUGUCGUGAUGUAGAGGUGGCCCAAGGUUUUGCAGGAAUCUCUGCCAACUAAGAUAUUUGGAACCUUGUGAACUCAUCCAUCCAUGGACACACCAUCCAGGAGCAAGAAGUGGAGCAUACUGCAGAUUUUUCUUUCUCCUUUUUAUUUCCUAACAUUUUAUUUUCUCUUUUUCUGUUUGGUUCACCUUUUCCCAGCCUUCAUUGUCUGGGUUUUCUCUCAGACAAACAUUUUAAUUAAAUUUUAAAAAUUAUUAUUAAACACUCUCCUCUUUUCAACAAACUAUUUCUCUUCCUCCCAUCUGCUUUGCCUUCAGUUCUCCUUUCACUUGAUUGCCUCCUCUUCCUCCACCUCCCUCAAUUUUGUCCAUCUCCCUCAAUUUUCUCCUACCCACCACUCCUACAUCUCUCCUCCAUUUCCCUUCUUUCUCCCUUUUCCCCUCCCCCACUCUUGUUUUAGCCUUUCAUUUUUCCACUCUUUGUUUCUCUUUGCAGCAUUUUUCUCACUCCAGAUCUCUUUGCCCAAUAUUUUCCCACAUCCCAUUCAUACCCACUCUAACCUUUGUGUAGUAUGGGCGGCUGUCUCUCGCUCUGCAGAGCACAGGAAUA